GAUGAAGAACGUAGCGAAAUGCGAUAAAUAAUGUGAAUUGCAGAAUUCAGUGAAUCAUCGAGUCUUUGAACGCACAUUGCGCCCCCUGGUAUUCCGGGGGGCAUGCCUGUCCGAGCGUCAUUGCUGCCCUCAAGCACGGCUUGUGUGUUGGGCCCCCGUCCCCCCCUCCCGGGGGACGGGCCCGAAAGGCAGCGGCGGCACCGCGUCCGGUCCUCGAGCGUAUGGGGCUUUGUCACCCGCUCUGUAGGCCCGGCCGGCGCCUGCCGACCAGCAUCAAUCUUUUUUCAGGUUGACCUCGGAUCAGGUAGGGAUACCCGCUGAACUUAAGCAUAUCAAUAAGCGGAGGA
rnacentral:misc_RNA from 1 species